UGUGUUUUUACAGCAAUUUUAUUGUCAAUGGUUGCUACUAAGUUACUGUGUUUUUUUACAGAUAAUUUAGAUGAUUCGGAAACAGCCCCUGACUUAAGAAUAUAAUUAUUAAUGUGGUUUUAGUUUAAUGAAUCACAGAUCACUUAUUCUGGUUUGGUAUCUUUACGACUUACAGUUUCUGACCAUAAGUUUAAUACUAUUAAGAAAAAAAACGUGGUACAAAUUCAAUAGAGUUCCAGAACUUUAUGCUUGGACUGAUACAAGUUGAUCACACUGUUUGACAAAUACACCGUCUCUAUUUUAACGUAAAGCACAAUUUGAAAACAUUUCAUAAACAAACAACAAAAUAUGGCAGAAUGUAAUCAUGCCCCAAACAAGUCCACAUAUAAACACUGGGGAACACUGCUAAUACAGUGCUGCUAUGGACUGUGAAGGAAAUAAAUACUCUAGGUGGUAGACUAACUCCAACUGUGUCUCAAAUAAUGCAAACAAAAUGUACAAUAAAGAUGGGUGUAUAGUGCACACUUCAUAGCUGAACUGAAUGGAUUGUUCCACAUACAAUGUUACAGAAGAUUUCUCAAAAACAAAUAAUAAAUAGUAAAUGAUACUAUAUACAUUUUAAAAACAUUUCGCGUAAAUAAACAUUCAACUUUACUGCCAUCAUUCUGCAUGAUAAAGCAUCUUGUCUGUGGCAGCAGGUUUGAGGCACCGGUUUAACUGAAAACUAUACAUAUGCCUCUGAAGUGCACACACUGUCAUAAAUGUAGCAGGACAUUCUGCAUGCCCACACUGAAAUCUGUUGUUUUCAAGACGUCUGUGAAUUUUAAUAUGCCAAAUGAAUGCAGAAAUCGAAGCUUUACAUGUAUAAAGCAUGAUGACACCCUAACGUUAAAACGUCCACCUGCACUGUCAAUGACUAAAUACUGUUAUGUUACUGUUAAUAAAGUGACAAAGUUUAGUCCAAAGAAAACUUAAGAAACGUACCACUACUACGCAAUCUGUGCAGCUACACUCCCAUCCCAAUGCAGGCUGCUGCAGGUCGGAAUAGUGGUCGCGCCAAAAGGUGGUGAGUAUAGAUACCAAGAGGCGAAACUCUGGUGCUUUUUGGGAAACAGAGCGGCCGCCAUUUUGGGGUGAAAAGGCUUUUUAACUGACAUGGUUUCUAUCGAGCUAAGGUUUCAUCAUGUAUUAUCAUCAUUCAGAUUGGAUUUCAGCUUGAAUGUUUUUUUUAACAAAGGAGCUCAUAUUGCCAUCGCGACAGAAAAAAGACGAGUCUCUUUCACCCCAAAAUGGCGGAAAUCGCAGUGCGCCGGUGUUGCAAUGGAACGUUCUAUUGAGUUUCGGCUCUUGGUAUCUAUAGUCUUUGGCGGCGCUGCGCUGCUCCCGGACGGCAUGUGACAUCAACGUACCGCGAGAGCGAUUGUAAUAGUUACGGAAUAAGAUGCACUCAGAUUCCCCGUCACGUAAUUUUGAUGUAAUUUCGGUGAUUGGAUUUGCGCAGCGCUGCAUGACGUUUAAGUCAUUACUAGAGAGUUACAAACAGGUGAGAUGGAUCAGGGUUAAGGCUGCAGGAAGUUGAUGUCGCGGGCCACAGAGUUUAGUACCACCUGUAGCCUACAUCAUAAGCCUGUGUCAAUGCCAUGUAUUUUUGCUGCUUGUAAACAAAACCUUAUGACAACUCAAUAAAUGAUUUAUUUGAGAAAAGUCUAUUUUCACAAAAAUAUUUAAUAAUCAAUAAACAGAAGGUUACAAAACAGUUUACUGUCUAGUUGUAUUAGGCUCAAAAUAAAAAAAUAAGCUAUUAAAAGCUUGUGCGAGACAUUUGUAUCCAUUAAAUAAUGAUCGUACUUUGUUUUGGGUUAUGUCCCAUGUCAGAGGUGCCCUGAAUAUCACACAAGUUUCUCAAUUCCAAGUUUCACUGUAAUACCUGUGAACUGGGAAAAUCUCUAUUUUAAUUAUUUAAACCCUUUCUACUAUAGAACUAUGAACAGUCAUGCUUGAUUGUUGUGAUUUACCACAGGCCAGUGUUGGUUAGGUUAACAAAGUCGUUUUUUUUAGCACAUUCCUCUAAUGUGAUUUUCACAAUAUUUUGAUCAGUAUUGUAAUUUCUCACUGAAUACACUUUAAUGCUCUGUGACCCCUCAUACAGUGAUUUCCAGUGCAUGAACACAGUGAAUUACUGUAGAUUUCACAUAAUACUUGUUUGUUGUGACUUUGUACAGCACAUUCCUCUUUAAUGUGAUUUUCACAAUAUUUUGAUCAGUAUUGCAAUUUCUCAUUGAAUAUAGCCUACACCUAUAUAGCCUAAAAAUAUGGUUCUUUAGAAGGUUCUUUAAUGAUGGUAAAGGUUCUGUAUAGAACCAUGUCUUCGGAAGAACCCCUUUUCUGCUGAAAUGGUUCUUCGUAUUGGGAAAAGGUUCUUUAUUCCCGCCUAUUUUGGUUUAAAGUAGAUCAGUCAUUUAGAAGCUGCCUCCUGAUGCUGCCUGCAGACUGACACACCACACAGGUAAGCUUCAGACUGUUUUUAAUCAUAUAUUUUAUGUUUUUUUAUAAUUUAAGAUAUUCUAUGGUUAUAUAAUUUACGGGAAUCUGCUUUACCAAUUAUUUAGGAUAGUUAAAAUGUAUAUACUUAAUAUUUAAAAAAUGUAUUACAUUAACAAUAUUAUCCUAGCAUCAAUCAUUAUUUACUUCUACUGGCUGAACUUCCAUAAACCAUUUUUCUACAAUAUUUUAUGCACAUUAGCUUGAUGUUUCUUCAACAGUAUGUUGUACAACUUUUUAGGAUGUUGUUUAUUUAUUGAUAUUUCAGAGUUUCGUAUGUGACCUUGUCCUGGGAGUGAACUUGGAAGAGACGGGUAUUUCUCGUGGUGCUAACCAAGUAUCAGUUCAGCUCAGAAGUCUACUGUGUCAUACUUAAUGUUUUAAAGGUGAAUCAUAAACCAAGCUCUAAACCACUGCAGGUCUGACUUUGACGGUUGAGGCAAAUUCAGUGACACAUUCAAAGGCUCCUGAAAACACCUGAGACUGACAGACACAGCUCUGGUUCGGCCUGAUGCUCAAGGUUGAUGACCACAGCCAUAGAUGGAAAGUGGUGGGAAUCUGUGAUGAUCAUGGCCUGCAAUUUGAGCCCCAUGCCAGACCCUACUUUUGUUUUGCCAGAAACUCAAAAUCAUUACCACACAUAGGGCUGUGACGGUGGCAGUUUUUUACCACCGUGGUGGUGCGGUGGUUGAGAAAUAUAUAUUGUUUAUAAUAUAAUUUAUUAUUUAAUAAUACAUUUUAUAUAAAUAAUAUUUAUAUUAUUAUAUUUGCGUGUAGCAACCACAUGACGAGUGGAAGAGAAAUAUAGACCUUAUUUAAAUCCUUGAAAUUGAAAUAUAAUAUCUGAAAUAAAUGAGGAUGAAACAUCCGUCAAUGUUUAACGCGCAAAUCCAUCAGUGAAACGGCACGCUACAGCAUAUACAACAUUUAAAUAAACAUCAGUAAAUAAUGAAAACUUGAUGUGAUAAUGAUAUAAGAAAGCUAAAUACUAAAUAAAAAAGCUCUUGUUGCAGUAACUUCAGUCAGUGGCGUAUUAACCCUUACAACCCCAAACAAACUGUUUAAACCUACAUUGGCUUUCCUAUUCAGAUUGCCAUAAAAACUUUACUUUUUCCGACUCGUUGAUGUGAAACUUACUUGUUGACAUUGUCCAGAUUAAAAUGUGUACAGCUGCACUAAAUGCGCGUUCAGAAGAUGUGCACAGGAGCGCAAAUGAAGAGAUGUCUCUCCGCAACCGCGGCAAAACCUGCGCGCGCUCCGACACUAAGCAAGCGGGUCAUAGCCAGUUUUGAUUUUACGUAUCUGUUCAUUUCACAACAAGAUCCACUGCAAAACCCGCAGAAUAACCUGGGUUUUGCCGUGCAGGCCCGCGCUCGAACGCACCGACGGAAACGUAUGCCAAUAAUUUCUGUUAAUGUAAAAUCUUUUAAAUAAAACCAUCCACAACUGAAAGGCUACAACUAGCAAUCGUUAUCGCAACUCUCAUAUUUAUUACACCUAUAUUUGUCAAGAGUGACGUGCACUACCGCCGGUGGCAGUUCGCCACCGUCAUGGCACUUUACCACCGUGGUGGUGCGCUUGUCACGGCCACCGUCACAGCCCUAACCACACAUAAAAUAAUGGAUGUAGUUAUCUGCAAACAAUGUAAGAUGAAAUCAUUUUAUUCCCUGUCUGACUUUUUGGCUGCACUGCUUGCGGUAUAAUCUUGCUGUUAACUUUAAAUAGUAAUCAUGUAUUUUUAUAAUUUUCCUGGUUAUAUAUAUACUUUUAUUUCUAUACAUUUUUGUUCUCACAUUUCUACUGCUUUUGUGCUAAAAUGGACUAAACGUAUUUCUUUACUUUUUCCUUUGUCUCUCUCAACAAUGUAAAAUUGUGAAAGGUAUUAAUAUGUACAAAUAUAAUGAAUGUUCCAUGACAUUUAAUGAUGUGACCAGAAGGAAAUAAAAGUAUUACUUGAUUUACAUGUCUUACUUAUUGUUUUUAUACGGUAAAACGGAAAUAGAAAAUGAUAAAAUCCAUAAAAAACUAAAUGAAUUAAUUAAUAAAAAUACCUAAAUUAAAACCCUUCCUGUUUUCUGAUAAAGGUAGGGUUCUUUAUAGCACCACUGAGGUUCUAUAUAGCACUUUUCAAGGCAGGGUUCUUUAUGGAACCUUAUAAAAAGGAUUCUAUAUAGCACCAAA